AUCGUUCAAUUUAAAUGGAAACAUUUAGAUCGGAAGUAGACAUUAGUCGAAGGAACGCAUG
ncrna:unclassified sequences Glutamine riboswitch